rnacentral:rRNA from 1 species
GGCCAGACUCCUACGGGAGGCAGCAGUGGGGGAUAUUGCACAAUGGGGGGAACCCUGAUGCAGCGACGCCGCGUGGGUGAAGGAGCGUUUCGGCGCGUAAAGCCCUAUCGGCAGGGAAGAAGGAGGACGGUACCUGACUAAGAAGCCCCGGCUAACUACGUGCCAGCAGCCGCGGUAAUACGUAGGGGGCAAGCGUUAUCCGGAUUCACUGGGUGUAAAGGGAGCGUAGACGGCCAUGCAAGCCAGGGGUGAAAGCCCGGGGCCCAACCCCGGGACUGCCCUUGGAACUGCAUGGCUGGAGUGCGGGAGGGGCAGGCGGAAUUCCUGGUGUAGCGGUGAAAUGCGUAGAUAUCAGGAGGAACACCGGCGGCGAAGGCGGCCUGCUGGACCGUGACUGACGUUGAGGCUCGAGAGCGUGGGGAGCAAACAGGAUUAGAUACCCCCGUA